rnacentral:rRNA from 1 species
UGGGGAAUAUUGGACAAUGGGCGCAAGCCUGAUCCAGCCAUGCCGCGUGAGUGAUGAAGGCCUUAGGGUUGUAAAGCUCUUUCGGCGGGGACGAUAAUGACGGUACCCGCAGAAGAAGCCCCGGCUAACUUCGUGCCAGCAGCCGCGGUAAUACGAAGGGGGCUAGCGUUGCCCGGAAUCACUGGGCGUAAAGGGCGCGUAGGCGGACAUUUAAGUCGGGGGUGAAAGCCCAGGGCUCAACCCUGGAAUUGCCUCCGAUACUGGGUGUCUCGAGACCGGAAGAGGUGAGUGGAACUGCGAGUGUAGAGGUGAAAUUCGUAGAUAUUCGCAAGAACACCAGUGGCGAAGGCGGCUCACUGGUCCGGUUCUGACGCUGAGGCGCGAAAGCGUGGGGAGCAAACAGGAUUNGAUACCCUGGUAGUCACGCCGUAAACGAUGGAUGCUAGCCGUUGGCAGGCUUGCCUGUCAGUGGCGCAGCUAACGCUUUAAGCAUCCCGCCU